AGGUAUUGGCUUACCAUGGUUACAACGGGUGACGGAAAAUUAGGGUUCGAUACCGGAGAGGGAGCCUGAGAAACGGCUACCACAUCCAAGGAAGGCAGCAGGGGCGCAAAUUACCCAAUCCUGACUCAGGGAGGUUGUGACAACAAAUAACAAUACAGGGCUUUCCUAAGUCUUGUAAUUGGAAUGAGUACAACUUAAAUCCUUUAACGAGGAUCCAUUGGAGGGCAAGUCUGGUACCAGCAGCCGCGGUAAUUCCAGCUCCAAUAGCGUAUAUUAAAGUUGUCGCAGUUAAAAAGCUCGUAGUUGGAUUUCGGGGUUGGACGGCCGGUCCGUCGCAAGGUGUGUCACUGGCCGGGCCGCCCUUUCUUCGCAAAGACUGCGUGUGCUCUUAACUGAGUGUGCGUAGGACUUGUGACGUUUACUUUUGAAAAAAUUAAAAGUGUUCAAAGCAGGCAGCGCUUGAAUACAUUAGCAUGGAAUAAUGGCAAUAGGACUGUCGGUUCUAUGUUUGUCGGUUUCUGGAACCCAACGUUAAUGAUUUAUGAGGGACAGUUGGGGGCAUUCGUAUUUCGUGGUCAAGAGGUGAAAUUCUUGGAUUUCGAAAAACGA
rnacentral:rRNA from 1 species